UCCCUCUUUGUUCAAGAGUUGGACAUGAUUUUCUCUUUCUCUUCUCCUCCAUAGAUAUCCAAGAGUUAGACAUGUCUUCUCCUCCAUAGAUGUCCAAGAGUUGGACAAUGAUCUCCUUCAUGAUCAGUCUAAGAGUUGGAUGGUAAAAAAAAAAAGAAAAGAGAUGAGAUCUCUUGUUUUUCUUUUCUUUAGAUCUUCUUUUUUCUCUUGAGAAGAGAAAGAGAAAAAAAAUCAGAUUAGAUCUGAUUUCUUGAUCCUCCUAUAGAUCUCUUUGAUUUACUUGCAAAGAGAAUCA
rnacentral:lncRNA from 1 species